rnacentral:rRNA from 1 species
UACGGAGGAUCCAAGCGUUAUCCGGAUUUAUUGGGUUUAAAGGGUGCGUAGGUGGUUUAUUAAGUCAGGGGUGAAAGACGGCAGCUUAACUGUCGCAGUGCCUUUGAUACUGAUGAACUUGAAUGAACUAGAGGUAGGCGGAAUGUGACAAGUAGCGGUGAAAUGCAUAGAUAUGUCACAGAACACCAAUUGCGAAGGCAGCUUACUAUGGUUUUAUUGACACUGAGGCACGAAAGCGUGGGGAGUCAAACAGGA